rnacentral:rRNA from 1 species
CAGGUACCGUCAAUGGAACAUACUAUUAAUAUGAACCAAUUUCUUCCCUGUCGACAGAGCUUUACGACCCAAGGGCCUUCUUCACUCACGCGGCGUUGCUGCGUCAGGGUUUCCCCCAUUGCGCAAAAUCCCU